AUGCGUAGCUUCAACCUGGCCAUGCUAUCUAGACAGGGCUGGCGUCUCCUCCAAAACCCAGAAAGCCUUUGCGCAAGAAUUCUAAAAGCUAGGUACUUUCCACAUUGUCACUUGUUGCAAGCAAAGCCAAAGGAGCGGAUAUCUUAUGCCUGGAGGAGUAUCCUACAAGGUAUCACCCUGAUUAAACAGGGAUACAUAUGGCGAAUCGGGGAUGGUGCAUCUGUAAACAUAUGGUCGGACCCAUGGAUACCAUGGGUAUGGUCACGACAGGGUCAUCACCCCAAAGGGUGCAAAUCUCCUAUCCCGGGUUAA
rnacentral:rRNA from 1 species